rnacentral:rRNA from 1 species
GAGUUUGAUCGUGGCUCAGAUUGAACGCUGGCGGCAUGCCUUACACAUGCAAGUCGAACGGCAGCAUGAUCUAGCUUGCUAGAUUGAUGGCGAGUGGCGAACGAGUGAGUAAUACAUCGGAACGUGCCCUGUAGUGGGGGAUAACUAGUCGAAAGAUUAGCUAAUACCGCAUACGACCUGAGGGUGAAAGUGGGGGACCGCAAGGCCUCAUGCUAUAGGAGCGGCCGAUGUCUGAUUAGCUAGUUGGUGGGGUAAAGGCCCACCAAGGCGACGAUCAGUAGCUGGUCUGAGAGGACGAUCAGCCACACUGGGACUGAGACACGGCCCAGACUCCUACGGGAGGCAGCAGUGGGGAAUUUUGGACAAUGGGCGAAAGCCUGAUCCAGCAAUGCCGCGUGUGUGAAGAAGGCCU